UUUUGUGUAGGUCAAAUCUCCCUCCCGCCUGGUGGUGACACCUUUGUUGUUCUCCCAGGAGAAAAUGUGACAAUAGCGUGGAAACUUGAUGUCAGUGUAUCUGACAUAACUGUUCGAACGUGGAGUUUCCUUCAAAAGAGCGAUAAGUUUUUUGCUCAAAUCGUUCAAAAUGGAAAUGUGGGUAAACAAUCGCAAUACUCACCUGGGCCAUUUACAAUAAAAAAGAAUUCAACUUUGAUUUUAAAGAAUGUUACUAUCCAGUACAAUGGAACGUACAGAUUUAGUAUUUUUUCGCAGAAUAAAUUAACUAAAUCUGAAGUUAAUGUGUUUGUUGCAGGCAAGUGUUUGUUGUAUAAUAUCCUGUACCGUUUUACCCUACUUUU